rnacentral:rRNA from 1 species
GAGUUUGAUCCUGGCUCAGGAUGAACGCUAGCGGCAGGCCUAAUACAUGCAAGUCGAGGGGUAACAGAGAGUGCUUGCACUUUGCUGACGACCGGCGCACGGGUGAGUAACGCGUAUGCAACCUACCUUUUACUGGGGAAUAGUCAAGAGAAAUUUUGAAUAAUACCCCAUACGAUCUUUAAAUAUCAUUAUUUUUAGAAGAAAACUUCGGUGGUAAAAGAUGGGCAUGCGUCCUAUUAGUUUGUUGGUAAGGUAAUGGCUUACCAAGACUUCGAUAGGUAGGGGCCCUGAGAGGGGGAUCCCCCACACUGGUACUGAGACACGGACCAGACUUCUACGGAAGGCAGCAGUAAGGAAUAUUGGACAAUGGAGGAAACUCUGAUCCAGCCAUGCCGCGUGCAGGAUGAAUGCCCUAUGGGUUGUAAACUGCUUUUAUACAGGAAGAAACCUUUGUACGUGUACAAAGCUGACGGUACUGUAAGAAUAAGGAUCGGCUAACUCCGUGCCACCAGCCGCGGUAAUACGGAGGAUCCAAGCGUUAUCCGGAAUUAUUGGGUUUAAAGGGUCCGUAGGUGGUUUAUUAAGUCAGAGGUGAAAUACUGCAGCUUAACUGUAGAACUGCCUUUGAAACUGAUAGACUUGAGUUAUUGUGAAGUAGUUAGAAUGUGUAGUGUAGCGGUGAAAUGCAUAGAUAUUACACAGAAUACCAAUUGCGAAGGCAGAUUACUAAUAGUACACUGACACUGAUGGACGAAAGCGUGGGUAGCGAACGGGAUUAGAUACCCCGGUAGUCCACGCCGUAAGCGAUGGUCACUAGCUGUUCGGACUUUAUGUCUGAGUGGCUAAGCGAAAGUGAUAAGUGACCCACCUGGGGGAGUACGUUCGCAAGAAUGAAACUCAAAGGAAUUGACGGGGGCCCGCACAAGCGGUGGAGCAUGUGGUUUAAUUCGAUGAUACGCGAGGAACCUUACCAGGGCUUAAAUGUAAGUUGCAUAAGUUAGAGAUAGCUUUUUNUUCGGACUACUUACAAGGUGCUGCAUGGUUGUCGUCAGCUCGUGCCGUGAGGUGUCAGGUUAAGUCCUAUAACGAGCGCAACCCCUGUUGUUAGUUGCCAUCGAGUAAUGUCGGGAACUCUAACAAGACUGCCGGUGCAAACCGAGAGGAAGGUGGGGAUGACGUCAAAUCAUCACGGCCCUUACGUCCUGGGCUACACACGUGCUACAAUGGCCGGUACAGAGAGCAGCCACUACGCGAGUAGGAGCGAAUCUAUAAAACCGGUCUCAGUUCGGAUCGGAGUCUGCAACUCGACUCCGUGAAGCUGGAAUCGCUAGUAAUCGGAUAUCAGCCAUGAUCCGGUGAAUACGUUCCCGGGCCUUGUACUCACCGCCCGUC